GGUUCUAUGGUGUAAUGGUUAGCACUCUGGACUCUGAAUCCAGUAGCCCAAGUUCAAAUCUCAGUAAAACCU
rfam:Oryzias latipes DNA, ultracontig112, strain: Hd-rR.